rnacentral:rRNA from 1 species
UACGGGGGGGGCAAGCGUUGUUCGGAAUUACUGGGCGUAAAGGGCUCGUAGGCGGCCAACUAAGUCGGAUGUGAAAUCCCUCAGCUUAACUGGGGAACUGCGUCUGAUACUGGAUGGCUUGGAUUCGGGAGAGGAAUGCGGAAUUCCAGGUGUAGCGGUGAAAUGCGUAGAUAUCUGGAGGAACACCGGUGGCGAAGGCGGCAUUCUGGACCGAUAUUGACGCUGAGGAGCGAAAGCCAGGGGAGCAAACGGG